rnacentral:rRNA from 1 species
GAUGAACGCUGGCGGCGUGCCUAAUACAUGCAAGUCGAGCGAACGGACGAGAAGCUUGCUUCUCUGAUGUUAGCGGCGGACGGGUGAGUAACACGUGGAUAACCUACCUAUAAGACUGGGAUAACUUCGGGACACCGGAGCUAAUACCGGAUAAUAUUUUGCACCGCAUGGUUCAAAAGUGAAAGACGGUCUUGCUGUCACUUAUAGAUGGAUCCGCGCUGCAUUGGCUAGUUGGUAAGGUAACGGCUUACCAAGGCAACGAUGCAUAGCCGAACUGUGAGGGUGGUAGGCCACACUGGAACUGAGACACGGUCCAGACUCCUACGGGAGGCAGCAGUAGGGAAUCGUCCGCAAUGGGCGAGAGCAUGACGGAGCAACGCCGCGUGAGUGAUGAAGGUCUUCGGAUCGUAAAACUCUGUUAUUAGGGAAGAACAGAUGUGUAAGUAACUGUGCACAUCUUGACGGUACCUAAUCAGAAAGCCACGGCUAACUACGUG